CCUACGGGUGGCAGCAGUAGGGAAUCUUUCACAAUGGGCGAAAGCCUGAUGGAGCAACGCCGCGUGCAGGAUGAAGGCCUUCGGGUUGUAAACUGCUUUUAUAAGCGAGAAAUAUGAUGGUAACUUAUGAAUCAGGAUCGGCUAACUACGUGCCAGCAGCCGCGGUCAUACGUAGGAUCCGAGCAUUAUCCGGAGUGACUGGGUGUAAAGAGUUGCGUAGGUGGCAUAAGAAGUAGCUAGUGAAAUCUGGUGGCUCAACCAUUCAGACUAUUAGCUAAACUGUUAAGCUCGAGACCGUUAGGGGUAACUGGAAUUUCUAGUGUAGGAGUGAAAUCCGUAGAUAUUAGAAGGAACACCAAUAGCGUAGGCAGGUUGCUGGGACGGGUCUGACACUAAGGCACGAAAGCGUAGGGAGCAAACGGGAUUAGAUACCCGAGUAGUC
rnacentral:rRNA from 1 species